rnacentral:rRNA from 1 species
GACGAACGCUGGCGGCGUGCUUAACACGUGCAAGUCAAACGGAAAGGCCCUGCUUUUGUGGGGUGCUCGAGUGGCGAACGGGUGAGUAACACGUGAGUAACCUGCCCUUGACUUUGGGAUAACUUCAGGAAACUGGGGCUAAUACCGGAUAGGAGCUCCUGCUGCAUGGUGGGGGUUGGAAAGUUUCGGCGGUUGGGGAUGGACUCGCGGCUUAUCAGCUUGUUGGUGGGGUAGUGGCUUACCAAGGCUUUGACGGGUAGCCGGCCUGAGAGGGUGACCGGCCACAUUGGGACUGAGAUACGGCCCAGACUCCUACGGGAGGCAGCAGUGGGGAAUAUUGCACAAUGGGCGGAAGCCUGAUGCAGCAACGCCGCGUGCGGGAUGACGGCCUUCGGGUUGUAAACCGCUUUCGCCUGUGACGAAGCGUGAGUGACGGUAAUGGGUAAAGAAGCACCGGCUAACUACGUG